rnacentral:rRNA from 1 species
AACGAACGCUGGCGGCAUGCCUAACACAUGCAAGUCGAACGAGACCUUCGGGUCUAGUGGCGCACGGGUGCGUAACGCGUGGGAACCUGCCCUUAGGUUCGGAAUGACUCCCCGAAAGGGGUGCUAAUACCGGAUAAUGUCUUCGGACCAAAGAUUUAUCGCCUUUGGAUGGGCCCGCGUUGGAUUAGCUAGUUGGUAGGGUAAAAGCCUACCAAGGCGACGAUCCAUAGCUGGUCUGAGAGGAUGAUCAGCCACACUGGGACUGAGACACGGCCCAGACUCCUACGGGAGGCAGGAAUGGGGAAUAUUGGACAAUGGGGGAAAGCCUGAUCCAGCCAUGCCGCGUGAGGGAUGAAGGCCUUAGGGUUGUAAAGCUCUUUUACCCGGGAUGAUAAUGACAGUACCGGGAGAAUAAGCCCCGGCUAACUCCGUG